AUACGUAGGUGGCAAGCGUUGUCCGGAAUUAUUGGGCGUAAAGCGCGCGCAGGUGGUUCCUUAAGUCUGAUGUGAAAGCCCCCGGCUCAACCGGGGAGGGUCAUUGGAAACUGGGGAACUUGAGUGCAGAAGAGGAUAGUGGAAUUCCAAGUGUAGCGGUGAAAUGCGUAGAGAUUUGGAGGAACACCAGUGGCGAAGGCGAUGUUCUGGUCUGUAACUGACACUGAGGCGCGAAAGCGUGGGGAGCAAACAGGAUUAGAUACCCUGGUAGUCCACGCCGUAAACGAUGAGUGCUAAGUGUUGGGGGGUUUCCGCCCCUCAGUGCUGCAGCUAACGCAUUAAGCACUCCGCCUGGGGAGUACGGUCGCAAGACUGAAACUCAAAGGAAUUGACGGGG
rnacentral:rRNA from 1 species